rnacentral:tRNA from 1 species
GCCUGGGUGGCUUAGUUGGUUAAGCUUCUGACUUCAGCUCAGGUCAGAUCUCAUGGUUUGUGAAUUUAAGUCCCGCAUCAGGCU